GACGAACGCUGGCGGCGUGCCUAAUACAUGCAAGUCGAGCGAACCUACCUGGAGGUUGCUCCUCCGACGACACUGUGGGACAGGAGACUAACUCGCGGCGAACCUAUGUGUAACACUGGGAUAACUUCCGGAAACCGGAGCGAUUACCGGAUAAUACAUUUACCAGUAUGGUUCAAUAGUAAAAGAUGGCUUUGCACUCACUUAUAGAUGGUUCCGCGCCGCAUUAGCUAGUUGGUAAGGUAACGGCUUACCAAGGCUACGAUGCGUAGCCGACCUGAGAGACUGAUCGGCCACACUGGAACUGAGACACGGCCCAGACUCCUACGGGAGGCAGCAGUAGGGAAUCUUCCGCAAUGGGCGAAAGCCUGACGGAGCAACGCCGCGUGAGUGAUGAAGGUCUUCGGAUCGUAAAACUCUGUUAUUAGGGAAGAAGAAAUGUGUAAGUAACUAUGCACGGCUUGACGGUACCUAAUUAGAAAGCCACGGCUAACUACGUG
rnacentral:rRNA from 1 species